AGGCGCGCACACAGUACAGUGAGUGAGUGAAUCUGUGAAUGAAAUUUGCAUAUGAAUAGAAGCGAUCAAGCCUAAUCUGGGCAGUGGAUUAGAGGUGGAUAAUUUGCAUAAGAAUAGUCUAGACCGUGACAGCGCAGGCACGAGUUAAGCAUAGUAUAAAUAAAUUAGAAAUGUUUUCGGUCAAUCGUUGUAAUCUUAUACUACUACACUCGUUGAAAUAUAUCGUUUGUUUGGUUUAGUUCACAGUUCCAUUAUUAAGUUUCAAUAUAAUAGUGGAAUAUCUACCCCGGUAUCUACCUCAUUAGUCUUAUUUACUAGACUAAGCCAAAGGUGGCACGCGCUUUAUCACGAUCGAACUAUAAUUCAGUCAACAUGCAUGACGUAUCUCGCUACCAGCUGUUUCUCGUUAAUUGUGCACAUAAUUAUAUGAGAUCGGAGGAGGGCUCUCAGCCGGCCAGCCGCCCCGGAACCAACUCGCCGCAUGACGGUCCAAGCCGGUGGCAGGAACAGUGACUGGGCAGCAACCAGCUAGAUGACAAAGACAGUUUUGAUAACGUUUAGUGAUGGCAAUCAAACAACUGGCAAGUUCCGUCAAAUAGAUUUUGAGAAAGUCGCAGAUACUUUGGGGAAACCUGAAGAGGGGCUCCAGGACAUUUUGUCCACUGUGAAGGCCAUCACAGAGGACCUCUUUUUUAAUUAUUAGGACAGUAAGGACUCUGAAACUUCUUCGUUUACCGAUAGUUCAACCAGUCUUGAGAGUGAAGCAAGGGAGCCGCGGAAAAAGAAAGGAAUCUCUUAGGGGUAAUUGGCCUACUAGAAAACGAAUGGGGGUAUAAACUAUCAUAACCUACUUGCUAAGUGGAAUAAAAUAAAUACUUUAAACUUUGAUUUUAAUAGGCAUUGUAUGUCAUAAUUGAUACCUAACGAUGUAUAAAAUAACUGGUUUCAAUGUCCAGGUAUAAUGUUCUACCACAAACUAUCUAAUUUAAUAUUUCAUACUGACAACCGUAAGUACAUUAAAGAGUAUCAUACGGCC